UACGUAGGGUGCAAGCGUUGUCCGGAAUUAUUGGGCGUAAAGAGCUCGUAGGCGGUUUGUCGCGUCUGCUGUGAAAUCUUAGGGCUUAACCCUGAGCUUGCAGUGGGUACGGGCAGACUAGAGUGCGGUAGGGGAGACUGGAAUUCCUGGUGUAGCGGUGAAAUGCGUAGAGAUCCGGAGGAACCCCAGAGGCGAAGGCGGCGCCCUGGCUCGCAACUGACGCUCAGACACGACAGCAUGGGGAGCGAACGGG
rnacentral:rRNA from 1 species